rnacentral:rRNA from 1 species
CAAUAGCGUAUAUUAAAGUUGUUGCGGUAAAAAAGCUCGUAGUUGGAUUUCUACCGAAGAUAGCCGGUCGGGUCUUCGACCUUGUAUCUGGUUUUGUCUUUGGUAUCCUCAUAGGGAACGUUUCUGCGCUUUAUUGCGUGGUGCGGUAUCUAUGACUUUUACUUUGAGGAAAUUAGAGUGUUCACGGCAGGCAAACGCCUUGAAUAUAUUAGCAUGGAAUAAUAACAUAGGAUCUUCGUCCUAUUUUGUUGGUUUCUAGGGCUAAGAUAAUGAUUAAUAGGGAUAAUUGGGGGCAUCUGUAUCAACGCGUCAGAGGUGGAAUUCUUGGAUUGCGUUGCGACAGACUACUGCGAAAGCAUUUGCCAAGGAUGUUUUCAUUGA